AACGAACGCUGGCGGCGUGCUUAACACAUGCAAGUCGAACGAGAAAGUCCCUUUCGGGGGAUGAGUAGAGUGGCGCACGGGUGAGUAACGCGUAAGUAAUCUACCCCAAUAUCUGGGAUAACCGACCGAAAGGUUGGCUAAUACCGGAUACCCUUUAUGUAUCGCGAGUUAUAUAGAGGAAAGGUGACCUCUGAUCAAGUUACCGUAUAGGGAUGAGCCUGCGUACCAUUAGCUAGUUGGUGGGGUAAAGGCCUACCAAGGCAACGAUGGUUAGCGGGUCUGAGAGGAUGAUCCGCCACACUGGAACUGGAACACGGACCAGACUCCUACGGGAGGCAGCAGUGAGGAAUAUUGCGCAAUGGGGGCAACCCUGACGCAGCGACGCCGCGUGGGUGAGGAAGGUUUUCGGAUCGUAAAGCCCUGUCAGGUGGGAAGAAGUGUUAUACGGUUAAUACCCGUAUAGUUUGACGGUACCACCAGAGGAAGCACCGGCUAACUCCGUGCCAGCAGCCGCGGUAAUACGGAGGGUGCGAGCGUUGUUCGGAAUUACUGGGCGUAAAGGGCGCGUAGGCGGCCUGAUAAGUCAGAUGUGAAAGCCCACGGCUCAACCGUGGAAGUGCAUCUGAAACUGUCUGGCUUGAGUAUUGGAUGGGAAAGUGGAAUUCCAGGUGUAGAGGUGAAAUUCGUAGAUAUCUGGAGGAACACCGGUGGCGAAGGCGACUUUCUGGACAAA
rnacentral:rRNA from 1 species